UUCAGAUUUGUUUGAGGCUGAACUUGCAGGUACAAAUAGAGAGGUCAACAUGCUAUUUUCCAAAUACUCUGAAGUGUUGAGGUCUGCAAGGACAAAGUCCAGACAAUAUUAUUACCCCAAAACAUCUGAAGACCUACAAAGCAAAAACAGCAGAUAGAUAUUAAAGCAGAACUAGAAAUUGUAUUAAAGGAGCUUGUGAGGAUUAAUAAACCUAAAAUAAAUGACUCUUUUAGAUUUUUUUUAUUUUACAAAGUGAAUAGUCAUAUGUUCUAAAGAUGAGAUGAAAAUAAAUGAGGCAAUAUACAGUCUGGCUACAAAACGUUUUAACCCUCAUUGGAGAACAUCAACUUACCUGUAUUGCUU